CGCGUAGGCGGUUUGAAUCGUCGGAUGUGAAAGGCCUGGGCUCAACCUGGGAACGGCAUCCGAUACGGUCAGACUUGAGUGUGGGAGAGGUUGGUGGAAUUCCCAGUGUAGAGGUGAAAUUCGUAGAUAUUGGGAAGAACACCGGUGGCGAAGGCGGCCAACUGGACCACAACUGACGCUGAGGCGCGAAAGCGUGGGGAGCAAACAGGAUUAGAUACCCUGGUAGUCCACGCUGUAAACGAUGCGUGCUAGACGUUGGGAGCCCUAGGCUCUCGGUGUCGUCGCUAACGCUUUAAGCACGCCGCCUGGGGAGUACGGUCGCAAGAUUAAA
rnacentral:rRNA from 1 species